UACGUAGGGGGCAAGCGUUGUCCGGAUUUAUUGGGCGUAAAGAGCUCGUAGGCGGUUCAGUAAGUCGGGUGUGAAAACUCUGGGCUUAACCCAGAGCCGCCACCCGAUACUGCUGUGACUUGAGUUCGGUAGGGGAGCAGGGAAUUCCUAGUGUAGCGGUGAAAUGCGCAGAUAUUAGGAGGAACACCGGUGGCGAAGGCGCUGCUCUGGGCCGAUACUGACGCUGAGGAGCGAAAGCGUGGGUAGCAAACAGG
rnacentral:rRNA from 1 species